UGUGAAUUUAAUCUCUAUUCUAUUGACACAUUGAUAACAGUAUGACGUUUAUUCGACUCACUUUGUGGAAUGAAUUUGCAAUAAAAGAUGGGAUGCGUCUGCAUGAAACUCUGCACCUUAAUAAUGUUUUGUUUGCUACAGGUUGAAGGUCAACUAUUUUCAUGGUAAUACUACUCUUAACCUGUAUGAACUUUUUUUUCUCCAAAAAUACUAAUCUAAUGAUUUUAAUAUUUUAACUUCUACGCCCGUACCUUAGCACCUGCAUGAAGAGCAAAUUAUAUGUUAAGUUGGAUACUUUCAACACUUUACUCAAACUAAUAUGUUGAUGCAUACUCUACAAUAUAGAGUUGAGAUGAGAUGGGUAUUAUUAGCUCGAUUAAUGGUUCUAAAAAAUUACGUGCUAAUCUAGGUUUGCCGAAAACAAAAAUGCACAGAAGUUGGUAGCAUGGAAUUGUACACAUGAAUUUUCGCUCCCACGGAAACUAAUAAUUUCAAAUGCCAAGAGAAUUCGAAUAAACCAAUUUGCGUUUUUACCCAAUGUAAGAUUUCCCCGUACAUGAUUGCAUGGUUAAUAUUUUUUUUCAUUGUAUACCUAUGCUUUGAAUUUGUGAAUUUUUUCGUAGGUACAAUAUUAUUGCGUUAUUGGCUAUAUCGAGAAAAUAUAUGUUGACCACCUAUGGAUUGAUUUAUGCAAAACAUGUUUUAAGCAAGUUUAAGAUUAGUACGGCUAGUUUGUGUGUAAUCAAUGCGGACGAGAAGAUGUCCAAACCGUAACCAGGUAUAAUGUCAAGAUGGUCGUGAAAGAUUCCACUGACUCAAUGGAACUCUUGCUAGAGGAUACGAAUAUAGAAUUUAUCUUAUAAUGUGUCGCAUCUUGUCUUAAAAAAUUAAUGUUAAAGGAUAAUGGGGUGCAAAUGCUCAAAGACUAUAUUUCUCAAUAUUAUGAGAGUUCAUAUGUGUUCAUUAUUCUUGCUCCAACAACUGGGAGUCUUGAAUUUCGUUUUAAAAGUUGAUUGGUCAGAAGAGUGUUGGCACCUUUCCAAAGGUAAUAAACGAUUACAAAGAUUGUAGAGAUGAUAAGUUGUCCUUUUUUCUUCAUUGUCAUACCUAGAUUAUACAUAAACCAGUCCAUAUUUUACGAUGAGUUUAAUAAUUCUUAAUCUUAUUUAUGUUGGAAUGUCGAGGACUGACAAAGGAAUAAUGGGGUCGUCAAUAUAAGAGCUUUGUUAAUAGAUUGGAAAUUACAUAAUGAAUUUUAUUUGUUAGGUUAAGUUUUACAAAUAUAUAUUCGAUUUUAUUACGUGUGUUGGGAUAUUUUUGACAUGCUUGAAUAUUUUUCAUCUCGAUUUGACCUGCACAUACACCGUAUUUUACUUUGUU